rnacentral:rRNA from 1 species
UGAAUACGAGACGCUAAGGCGUCGAAGUAGUGUAUGUCAUACUUCCAAGAAAAGCUUGCACUGUCAUAGAUAAAAAACGCCUGUACCAUAACCGACACAGGUGGGUAGGUAGAGUAUACUAAGGGGCGCGAGAUAACUCCCUCUAAGGAACUCGGCAAAAUAACUCCGUAACUUCGGGAGAAGGAGUGCCUUAUUCUUAAGGUUGCAAUAACAAGAUCCAAGCAACUGUUUAUCAAAAACACAGGUCUCCGCUAAGUCGUAAGACGAUGUAUGGGGGCUGACGCCUGCCCAGUGCCAGAAGGUUAAAGAAGCUGGUUAGCAUUUGCGAAGCUAGUAACUGAAGCCCUGGUGAACGGCGGCCGUAACAAUAACGGUCCUAAGGUAGCGAAAUUCCUUGUCGGGUAAGUUCCGACCCGCACGAAAGGCGUAAUGAUUUGGAUACUGUCUCGGAGAGGGGCUCGGUGAAAUAGACUUGUCUGUGAAGAUGCGGACUACCUGCACCAGGACAGAAAGACCCUAUGAAGCUUUACUGUAACUUGAAAUUGAAAUUGGACUUUAUUCGCGCAGUAUAGGUGGGAGGCGUUGAUUAUAAUCUUGCGGGAUUAUUGGAGCCAUUAGUGAGAUACCACUCUUGUAAUGUUAGAUUUCUAACUUUGAAUCAUUAUCUGGUCAAAGAACAGUUUCAGGCGGGCAGUUUGACUGGGGCGGUCGCCUCCCAAACGGUAACGGAGGCGUACAAAGGUUUCCUCUGAACGGUUAGAAAUCGUAUCUAGAGUGUAAAGGCAUAAGGAAGCUUGACUGUGAGACCUACAAGUCGAGCAGGGACGAAAGUCGGUCUUAGUGAUCUGACGGUACUGAGUGGAAAGGCCGUCACUCAACGGAUAAAAGUUACUCUAGGAUAACAGGCUGAUCUCCCCCAAGAGUUCACAUCGACGGGGAGGUUUGGCACCUCGAUGUCGGCUCAUCGCAUCCUGGGGCGGUAGUACGUCCCAAGGGUUGGGCUGUUCGCCCAUGAAAGCGGUACGCGAGCUGGGUUCAGAACGUCGUGAGACAGUUCGGUCCAUAUCCGGUGUAGGCGUUAGAAUAUUGAGAGGAGCCUUCUUUAGUACGAGAGGACCGAGAAGGACAUACCUCUGGUGUACCAGUUAUCGUGCCAACGGCAGACGCUGGGUAGCUAUGUAUGCAGUGGAUAACCGCUGAAAGCAUCUAAGUGGGAAGCCCACCUCAAGAUAAGUAUUCUCAUCAA